rnacentral:rRNA from 1 species
CCUACGGGUGGCAGCAGUGAGGAAUAUUGGUCAAUGGACGAGAGUCUGAACCAGCCAAGUAGCGUGAAGGAUGACUGCCCUAUGGGUUGUAAACUUCUUUUAUAUGGGAAUAAAACGUUCCACGUGUGGGAUUUUGUAUGUACUAUAUGAAUAAGGAUCGGCUAACUCCGUGCCAGCAGCCGCGGUAAUACGGAGGAUCCGAGCGUUAUCCGGAUUUAUUGGGUUUAAAGGGAGCGUAGGUGGAUUGUUAAGUCAGUUGUGAAAGUUUGCGGCUCAACCGUAAAAUUGCAGUUGAAACUGGCAGUCUUGAGUACAGUAGAGGUGGGCGGAAUUCGUGGUGUAGCGGUGAAAUGCUUAGAUAUCACGAAGAACUCCGAUUGCGAAGGCAGUUCACUGGACUGCAACUGACACUGAGGCUCGAAAGUGUGGGUAUCAAACAGGAUUAGAUACCCCAGUAGUC